GACUAUAAAGCAUAUUGAAGACCUGACGUGGGACGACUAUAACAAUAUAACCAUGGGAUGUUACGGUCUUUAUACGGAGCUGGAUCAACAGCACGACUAGAAAUGCUGUGAUCAAUCUAUUGUAUGUACCAGACUAGUCCCUUCUUAUAGGGACCCACAGAUACAAGUCCUGCGGUGAUCUCUACCUAUAGUAUAUAUAAGUAUGACUAUAAUAUGACCGGUCUCACCUGAGUAUGGUUGAGAGAAACACGAUUCCGUAUGUGAACCUGCGGAAGGAUCAUUA
rnacentral:rRNA from 1 species